UACAAAACAGAAAAAAAAAAAAAAGAAAAAAAAAGUAAGCUUUAAGUACCACCCUUAUAGUUUCGUAUUUUUUUACUUUAAUACCAUAUAAUUUAAGGUGUAUUAAUUUAAUAUCUUAUAAUUUUAUUUUUUCUUUUCGUCAGCUUUUUUAUUAAUAUUUUAUUAAAUUAUACAUAAAAAAUUUUAGAUAUUUUAUCUAGAUUUAUCGAAUAUUCAUUUUAGUAUUUUUUAGUUUUAACUUUUUUACUAAUUUAACGAAAAAUAUUAUUAAAAAAAAUAAUAAAAAAAUAAAAAUAAAAUUAUAGGUACUAAAUUGAUACAUUUUAAAUUAAAAGAUACUAAAAUAAAAAAAAAUGAAAUCAGGUGGUGGCAUUUAAAAUUUUUUCUUAAAAAAAAAAU
rnacentral:lncRNA from 1 species